rnacentral:rRNA from 2 species
UAGGGAAUCUUCGGCAAUGGGGGGAACCCUGACCGAGCAAUGCCGCGUGAGUGAAGAAGGUUUUCGGAUCGUAAAGCUCUGUUGUUAAGGAAGAACGAGUGUGAGAAUGGAAAGUUCAUGCUGUGACGGUACUUAACCAGAAAGGGACGGCUAACUACGUGCCAGCAGCCGCGGUAAUACGUAGGUCCCGAGCGUUGUCCGGAUUUAUUGGGCGUAAAGCGAGCGCAGGCGGUUAGAAAAGUCUGAAGUGAAAGGCAGUGGCUCAACCAUUGUAGGCUUUGGAAACUGUUUAACUUGAGUGCAGAAGGGGAGAGUGGAAUUCCAUGUGUAGCGGUGAAAUGCGUAGAUAUAUGGAGGAACACCGGUGGCGAAAGCGGCUCUCUGGUCUGUAACUGACGCUGAGGCUCGAAAGCGUGGGGAGCGAACAGG